UGCCUGCGCCUUCUGACACACACCUUCAAUACUGAAUACAAGCAGCUGGUGAACAGCAUCAGUGACUGCAAGCUUUCUCUCAUCUCACCGAUCGGACGUGAUCCAUCCGUGACGAGCUUCAGCAGUGCCACCCUCACCCCUUCCUCUACCUCCCCCUCUCUGUCGGACUCCCGCUGUGGCUCCAUGGGCCAGAAGACCCCUGAGAACAGAUCACGUGCCUCCCAGUCCCUCCUGCUCAGACUGUGAAAACUUCCCGAUGGUUCCCACUCUGGAGACCUCCUACCUUGCGCGGGCUGCAAAAGAACGAGUUCCUGAACUUGGUGCCUGAUAUUGAAGAAAUGCGACCAGGUUCAAGCAGAAAUGAUGUGGAUCGAUUCAAAUUCCUGAGCCUGGAUGAUUUCAGCUGGAAACAAACCAACUCUGCUUCUUCCUCAG